ensembl:lncRNA
AUUUUUUUACCCUUGUGUACAUGAUUGUAUUUAUAUGUGCAAUGUUGUUUUCCAACAGAUAACAUUCAUAAAAAGUGUGUCUUUAAAUAAAUAUUCAAAUCCAUGCAUUUGAAAAAAGGACUUUCAAGCAUAAAUGUAUAAAGCGCUUACAUGUCAUAUCUUGUACAGAGUCUAUAGGUUCAGAUAGCCAGGCAUAUUUGUAAAGAUGGAACUCCUCCACCAACUCAAACUAAUGUCUCUGGUAACAUAAUCAAUUGCCUUGCUUUGCGUUUCAGAAUUGAGUUUAUAUCCUGCAUCUCUUGAUGCAAAGUUUCUAAAAAGGCAGAUACAAAGGUUAUGCUUAUUCACCCUAACCUUCCUGAAUGUGAUUACAUACUAUGUGACAAUAGCAAUGGCAGCACAAAAUGAGUUGACCAAAUGUCCAUUUGAUGGGAUGCCUAAAACUGACAUUUACAGUCUUGGAUGGAGUGUACAUUGCUUUUUCUUUCUUUCAAAAUAUUCAUUUGUGUAUGGAUAUUUCUUAUUAAGCCAGGGUUAGGUACUAUAUUUCUUCUCCAUUUCUAUAGACAUGUCACUUGUUUCUACACACGAAAGCCAUAUUGACAUGCAAUCCAUUGUAUGCUUAUUUUCAUCGAAUGCUUAAAGCAGGUAUAUAACCUUUUGUUAAAAAUAUAUUUGGGUUAGCUAUUGGAAAUCAUAUUUCAUGAGGUGUCUGGUAGAUAUACUCUCCAAUCAUGUGUAAUUGGGCAAAUCUUAUAUAUUUUUGUGUAUUUUCAAGUUUUUUUUUCUUUGUAUGGUGUAUUAACUACAGUUGUUGUGACAGUUGUCAGCUCACCAUUAACCACAUACAUUGGAGUCUGCAUUGUAUACUUCAGGAUUAUAUUGUUUAAUGUUUGGGUCCCACUUUAUAUAAAGUGUGACUAUAAAGACCAAUAUUACAUUCUGAUUAAUGACAUUGGCAGGUACAGUGUUCGCAUUGUUAGAGUUUAGUUAUCUGCCCUGUUUGCCGCUAGCAAAUGCAGCCAAAUUGUUAUAAAGUGUACCUUCCUACUCUGUAAUUAUACCAAACUUGUAUGUGUAAUUACAAUGUGAAUACAUGUUUUAGCGCCACAAUAUAAUGUGGGACUGAGUUUUUAAUUUUUACCAAG